rnacentral:lncRNA from 1 species
ACCGAGUUGAGAACUGAUUGUUUUCCCAGCAAUGCCCCGUAAAGCCGCAUCACUCAUAGCCGUAGGAAACAUGCCAAAGUAGCAACAUCAAUUCUUUCACUUAAUGACAUAGUCAGAAGUCACUAAGGGCAUCUAACAUAUAUCGGACACCUUCUCAAAAUAAUGCACGUGAGAAUUCACACGAUGAGGAAGCAGGGAUCUAUUCACUCAUCUUCUUUAUUUUGUUGCCCAGCACAUGUAGUAUGAAAUACAUGCUAUGACAGAGAAUCCAAAUAAGCGUGUGUCUUUCUCAAUGUCAUACGGAUCUUAGCUCAAUCACUCCCGGAGUGUCUAGCCUGAGUUCUCCAUUUGCUCGCUAUCUCAAGCGCCAAACGGUGAGCUCACAUCCGGCUCUUAAUAUACAGGCCAUACGAAUCGUGGGACUAUUCGUAUGUGGUCUCAUUAAUGACCUCAUCUUGGUGCGAACCAAGGCGGCUUCCAUUAAUGC